CCCCUCUCAGGGUCGCAUCUGGAGAGUUUCCAGUCCUCUACCAGUCUCGGCUACAGGAGGGAGAGUCAAGCAGAGGCCUCCCCGUUCCGUUCCUAGCUUGGGCCGUGGCUAGCGAGUGGAAGGCAAUCUGCUGCAAGU